CGCAGCCGGAGUACAGUCUAGCUGGCCCCUGGUAAGGUUUCUUUUUUAGACAGAAGAAGUCCAUGGCUUCCUGGGGUACUAGCUUGAAAGCCAGAGAUGGUGGCACUUCCAUAAAGACUGGAGCCUUCUUCAAGAUGAUGUUGAUGCUGGUUAUCAUGUCUGAAAAACAGAAGAGGCAUGUUGUAAACUGGAAAUUAUGUCUGAAAUGGGAGAAUGAUUAGUCAUCCUUUCUGCAGAGGAAGAAAGAGAAAAGGCAUUAAGCAACUGUGCUACCCUCUGGUUCGGCUUGUAACAACCACUAAAUGAAUUCUAAGGUUGUCUCUCAGGUUCACACAUGGGACGCUAUAUAAAGUACUGAGAAGAUGCCCAGCGAGGUCAAAUGUUCCCACCUCCUCCAGAGUACUGAGAAGACGCCCAUUGAGGUCAAAUGUUCCCACCCCCUCCAGAGUCCAGCUCAUAAAUUACAAGCUGGCCGGAGUGGUGUAGUCAUAAAGCUGACCAAGCAACUCACAAGGUGGAGCUCCCUGAACAAGCAAGAAGAAAGAGUAAUGCCUUGUCACUACAAGCCCCAGAGGGUCUAUUUUGUUAAAGCCGUUUUUUGUAACCCUUUUUACUUCCUUAAAUAAAAAACUUUGAAGUAAACAGAGACAGCUGG